rnacentral:tRNA from 1 species
AGCAGGGUAGCUCAGCAGGUAGAGCACAGAAAAAACGGAUCAUAAACCGUGAUCCUGACAGCAAGGCUUUCCAUUCCGAGGCUGGUGUCGCCGGUUCGAAUCCGGCCCCUGCAA